rnacentral:tRNA from 1 species
AGGAAAUAGUUUUAAAAAUAUUAAUUUUGGAGGUUAAAGUUGAGAAUUUAUUUUCUCUUUCCUGAA